UGGGCCGACUGUAGAGACGCGACCUGAGCGUUACGUGGGGGGAGAAGCAGCCUCUCCGCCGCGCAGAGGCCGAGUGGCGAUUCUGGCCGGAGGAGGAGCACAUGGCCCGAUCUUCCUCCAGCGGACAGCUGAUCCCAUCCCUCGCCGGGACUCGGCCCUGAUCAAACAGACGCGCGUGUGCACGCCGAGGGAACAGGAGCCCCAUUCAGAUCUUGUGAAACCAGAAGAACCAGAACCAUCGGCACAGCCUCCCGAUCCUUCCAUCCCUCAACCCCUCCUUCCUCCACCCUGCGCUGCCUCCGACAUCACUCUCCACUCUUGUCGGUUCCAAAAAAUAUGAGUCGAGUUGCGUAAUGCCGACUUAAGGUGAAGGUCCUGCCUGCCUCCCGAGGAGUCACCCUGAAGGUUACCCGAGCCCGCGUCAUCAGCCCAUCUGGAAGCUCUGCGAAGACAGCGAACGUACAGUGUGAUGUGAUGUCAUUAUCACCUCUUGAGGUCGACGGUGGUGACAUUGAAGACGACACCUUUGAGCCAGAGGAUCAUAAAGAGGCGCUGAGAGAAGGGACAGUUUCCGAUGCUCUCCCCGUCACUCCCAGCCUGCUCCUCCUUGUCAGACACCGCCGAAGACGAUGACAUCGAAGACGAGGAUCUGCGGGAAAAGUUGUCGCCGUUCGCCUCCGGGGACCCCCUCCCCCAAUUCGGCGUGUGCUGAAGAAGAAGAGGAGGAGGAAGAGGAGGAGGAUGAGGAUGAACUGCUCCGUCUUUCCUCCGCGAGAGGCCGAGGCGGGGGGA